AUACGAAGGGGGCUAGCGUUGCUCGGAAUUACUGGGCGUAAAGGGAGCGUAGGCGGACAUUUAAGUCAGGGGUGAAAUCCCGGGGCUCAACCUCGGAAUUGCCUUUGGUACUGGGUGUCUUGAGUGUGAGAGAGGUAUGUGGAACUCCGAGUGUAGAGGUGAAAUUCGUAGAUAUUCGGAAGAACACCAGUGGCGAAGGCGACAUACUGGCUCAUUACUGACGCUGAGGCUCGAAAGCGUGGGGAGCAAACAGGAUUAGAAACCCUAGUAGUCC
rnacentral:rRNA from 1 species